GACAGAGGGUGCAAACGUUGUUCGGAAUUACUGGGCGUAAAGCGAGUGUAGGCGGUUUUCCUAAGUCAGGUGUGAAAGCCCCGGGCUCAACCCGGGAAGUGCACUUGAAACUGGGAGGCUAGAGUAUCGGAGAGGUUGGUGGAAUUCUCGGUGUAGAGGUGAAAUUCGUAGAUAUCGAGAGGAACACCGGUGGCGAAGGCGGCCAACUGGACGAAUACUGACGCUGAGACUCGAAAGCGUGGGGAGCAAACAGG
rnacentral:rRNA from 1 species